AGGAAACAAAAGUAUAACGAAAAAGUUAUAAUUAAAUUUGAAGUGUAAUAAAAUUUAAUAAAAAAAAGAAAAAAAAAAAGAGAGAGCACAAAAAACAAUGAUAACAACAACACACACAUACAUAAGAUAGAGAAAACGGGAACGAUUAUCUAAUUAUUUGUUGGCAAGAAGUUUAUGAAAGAUUAUGCUACGCGAACUAAAUGCGUUGAAGAAUAACAUUGUCGGAGCCUUGAAGAAAAAAAAAAAAAAAAAAAAAAAAAAAAAAAAGAAAAAAGAAAAACAAAAAAACACCAAAGAAAUACAAAACCAAAAGUAUCAA